rnacentral:lncRNA from 1 species
UUUGGAUUGAAAAAGAAAAAAAAAAGAUUUUGAAAAGAUUGAAGAAGAAGGGGGUUGUGUCUGAAGUGCAAGAAAGGGGCAAUGGGUUGAAGGGUGACCCAGGCUCGAGCAAUCGCAAAUGAAGGGCGACAAUGGCAGAAGCGCGCGAAGAAUAGGAGCGAAUUCGAAAUAGAAAAAAGGAAGGAGGGAAAUGAACGAGAAAGUAAAAUUUGAAUAUAGAGAAGCAUAGUGUCCGCCAGGCAGGCAACACAGACCCUAAUUGAGGUACAACUAACGGAGAUAAAUUAUUUAAUAUAUAAUCUUAUG